CUCAUGAAAGCGUCUGAUCACCGUCUUUUUUUUUUUUUUUUGUAAUUAGAGCCAGUCAUAGAUGAUCAACCUUCUUUUAAAAACAACAACAAACAGAAUAAACUGGAUCGCGCUAGCCAGUCGUGAUAUUGAAAUGAGGAGCUGAAUUGAAUGCGGGUUCUGUCUGUGAAGCCGACCAGCAUCCCUCUGCGUCUAUCCCUGCCUGACACAACCUCCGCCCCAUGUGACUAUAAGAAGAAAUGCAAGUGAAGUUCUAAUGAAGUGGUGCUGGAUUGCUGGUCGUAGAAAGGAGAGGAAGGUGGUGAUACAGUGACGUAGGGAGGGGUGCAGGGAGGUGAUGGUGCAUCAAGUCCUGUGAUACAGCAGUGCUGUUCUGAACCUCUUGUUGAAAAGCAGCCCCAUAGCUGUCAGUUUGAAUCCCAUCAGCUUGCCGAGUCGCAGAUAACAGCUAUAGGAACACUGUCUGCUGUUCAAUUCUAUUGAUGUCAUUUAGCA